rnacentral:rRNA from 1 species
GAUGAACGCUGGCGGCGUGCCUAAUACAUGCAAGUCGAGCGAACAGACGAGGAGCUUACUCCUCUGACGUUAGCGGCGGACGGGUGAGUAACACGUGGAUAACCUACCUAUAAGACUGGGAUAACUUCGGGAAACCGGAGCUAAUACCGGAUAACAUUUUGAACCGCAUGGUUCAACAGUGAAAGACGGUCUUGCUGUCACUUAUAGAUGGAUCCGCGUCGCAUUAGCUAGUUGGUAAGGUAACGGCUUACCAAGGCAACGAUGCAUAGCCGACCUGAGAGGGUGAUCGGCCACACUGGAACUGAGACACGGUCCAGACUCCUACGGGAGGCAGCAGUAGGGAAUCUUCCGCAAUGGGCGAAAGCCUGACGGAGCAACGCCGCGUGAGUGAAGAAGGUCUUCGGAUCGUAAAACUCUGUUAUUAGGGAAGAACAAAUGUGUAAGUAACUAUGCACGUCUUGACGGUACCUAAUCAGAAAGCCACGGCUAACUACGUG